rnacentral:lncRNA from 1 species
CACAACCCUCACACGCCAUAUCUCUCUCUCCACUCUCUCACACGCCAUCUAUCUCUCAAGAAUGAGGCUCCUCUCUGCACCAUCACAGCCCAAAUCAACCCUUCUCUCAGAUCUAGAUAUUUUCUUAAUUUUACCAUUGAUGUGAUAAGAUUUAGUUUUUUUUUUCUUCUGAUUUUGGAUUCUUGAUGAUUUGCAGAGGAAGAUGUGCCUAUGGAGUUUUGAGACCGAGGACUGAAGAAGGAUCGAGAUCGGAGUUGGAGAAAAAGGAGAAGAGGAGAGAGGAAGGAGGCGAGGAAAGCUCCGAAGAGAGCGUGAACGAUGAGAGAGACUAUCAACGUUUUCGGCGGCGGUGCGGCAAUUUUGAGGCCAUGGAAACCAGCCAAGGAAUUGAUCGGAUGUCCUGUUCCGAGAGAAGCUCAGUCAGGUACAGUGGUGGAAUCGAAGAAUCCAUUGUUCUUGAGUCAUCUUUGGUGUUUCUGAAUUGGGUUUAGCUUAGUUCAUUUUUAAUCUCUUUUAUGGAUUUUGGGUUCUUGGUUUUGUAAUUUUUACGAAAAGUAAUUUUUUUUCUAGGAAGAAUUACAGAGGUUUUGGGUGUUUGAUUUUUGGGAAAAUCGUAAAUCAUUGAAGAGUAAACACUAAGAAAAAUUUAUGGGUUGUGUCUUGAACUGUGUUGUAUUAAUUGUUGGGUACUUGGUUGUUUGGGUUUCGGGAAAACGAUGAAUCUUUGAAGAGAAAACACCAAGAAAAUUUUAUGGGUUUUGAGUAUGGAAGGAAGGGAAGGUAUUAGCAGGAGUGGGGUUACAGUGGUGGGAUCGGAUGCUCCGUUAGAUUAGCAUCUGGGUUUAUGGUUUAAAUUUAUGCCCAUUUUGAAAUUUGUGGGUUAAUCUCUGUUUUAUUUCUGUUUUUUGCUGCUUCAACUCACUAAGCAAUGCUUGAUUAAUCUCUAUUUUGGUUGCACUUUAAUAG